CAUGAGUGUUGGAUCUGCCACGUUAAUUAAUUAGGCGUGAUCCAACGCUCCGUUUUUUUUUUAAUUCUUUUUCUUUUAUUAUUUUUAAUUUCUUUUUCUUUUAAAAUUCAUAGUAAUUCCAAUUUUUAUCCCAAAAAUACCAAAAUAAUUUUUAAAAUUCUCUUUUAUUUUUCUUCAUCUGAUUUCUAUUUUUCCACAUUUUAUUUCACCGAUUUUCUAUUUUUCAU
rnacentral:lncRNA from 1 species